CCUACGGGUGGCUGCAGUGGGGAAUAUUGGACAAUGGGGGGAACCCUGAUCCAGCCAUGCCGCGUGUGUGAAGAAGGCCCUCGGGUUGUAAAGCACUUUCAGUGAGGAAGAACGCCUGGUGGUUAAUACCCAUCAGGAAAGACAUCACUCACAGAAGGAGCACCGGCUAACUCCGUGCCAGCAGCCGCGGUAAUACGGAGGGUGCGAGCGUUAAUCGGAAUUACUGGGCGUAAAGCGCGCGUAGGUGGCUUGAUAAGCCGGUUGUGAAAGCCCCGGGCUCAACCUGGGAACGGCAUCCGGAACUGUCAAGCUAGAGUGCAGGAGAGGAAGGUAGAAUUCCCGGUGUAGCGGUGAAAUGCGUAGAGAUCGGGAGGAAUACCAGUGGCGAAGGCGGCCUUCUGGACUGACACUGACACUGAGGUGCGAAAGCGUGGGUAGCAAACAGGAUUAGAUACCCUUGUAGUC
rnacentral:rRNA from 1 species